AGGACGAACGCUGGCGGCGUGCUUAACACAUGCAAGUCGAGCGAGGCUCUCCUUCGGGAGAUGUCCUAGCGGCGAACGGGUGAGUAACACGUGGGCAACCUGCCUCUAGCUCUGGGAUAACUCCGGGAAACCGGGGCUAAUACCGGAUACGACCUCGAGCGGCAUCUAUCGAGGUGGAAAGUUUUUUCGGCUAGAGAUGGGCCCGCGGCCUAUCAGCUUGUUGGUGAGGUAACGGCCCACCAAGGCGACGACGGGUA
rnacentral:rRNA from 1 species